GAUGAAGAACGUAGCGAAAUGCGAUAAGUAAUGUGAAUUGCAGAAUUCAGCGAAUCAUCGAAUCUUUGAACGCAUCUUGCGCUCCUUGGUAUUCCGAGGAGCAUGCCUGUUUGAGUGUCAUUUUAACUUCUCAACCAUAUCGAAUUGUUUUUCGAGGUGGCUUGGACAUGGGGGUUUUUGCAGGCUUUAAUAAUGAAGUCGGCUCCUCUGAAAUGCAUUAGUGGUAUCUGAAGCAGAACUGCUACUAUUAGGUGUGAUAAUUAUCUAUGCCUCUUGGUAUACUGCAUGAACAGAUUGCGCUGCUUCCAACUUGUACACCCUUUGGUGUUUGACAAAUUUGACCUCAAAUCAGGUAGGACUACCCGCUGAACUUAAGCAUAUCAAUAAGCGGAGGA
rnacentral:misc_RNA from 1 species